rnacentral:rRNA from 1 species
AAUAGCCUAACGGCUGAACCAGCAAUUUGGGGGAAUGUAAAUAUGUAUAAUUAUAUACAUAUGUAUUGGUUUUACCAAAUAAAAUUCUGAAUAGAUAAUUGAUAAUGACAAACUUCUAUUCAUAUGUCUUGACCAAUGCUUGUGCCAGCAGUCGCGGUAACACAAGUAAGACUAGUGUUAUUCAUCUUUAUUAGGUUUAAAGGGUACCUAGACGGCAUUUAAUUGCUAGAGUUUUAUGUGAGAGGUAUAUAUUAGAUAGGUUUGUGUAGAGAUAUAAUUCUUUGAUACUUAUAGAAUGUGUAACGGCGAAGGCAACCCUCUAUGUAGAAACUGACGUUAAGGGACGAAGGCUUGGGGAGCAAAUAGGAUUAGAGACCCUAGUAGUCCAGGCAGAAAAUUAUGAAUGUUAUAUACAACUUUUAAAGGUGUGUAUAAAUGAAAGUGUAAGCAUUCCACCUCAAGAGUAAUGCGGCAACGCAGGAACUGAAAUCAUUAGACCGUAUCUGAAACCAGUACUGAAGUAUGUUAUUUAAUUCGAUGAUCCUCGAAAAACCUUACCACAAUUUGAAUAGUAUUUUUUUUUUCAUGAAAUGAUUAUAUGACAUUUCUAUAAACGAAUAAAUAAAUAAACCAAUAAACAAAUAGAAUAUUACAAGCGUUGCACGGCUGUCUUUAGUAAAUGUCGUGAGACUAUGGUUAGAUCCAUUAAAUUAACGUGAUCCCUUGCUUUAUUACCAGAAUUAUAGCAUGUAAUACUUUAUCUUUUUUCAUCACCUUAAUAGGUAGUAGAAAUGGUAUUACGUAUACAUGGUUGUCUAAAAAUAGAGUGGUCAACUCACUACAACGAGUUUGAUAUUAGGGGCCAAGGCAAGUCAUCAUGACCUUAAUAUUGUGGGCUAUAGACGUGCCACAUAUAUCUGUACAAAGAGAGACAAAAAUGCAAAUUUGAGUUAAACUCCAAAACAGGAUAGAAAAU